GCUCCUCCCCUUUAUAAAUAAAUACAAGGAGAGGGACGAGAGGAUACUUGCUACUGAGAAACCACAUGCCAGCACCUCGACCCAUAAAAGAGCCCGAGGGAGAGGGACCCCCCACGGCCCACCUAAAAAAUUCCACUCAAGACCAACUGGUCUGAAGGGCCGAUGAAGGAUUGGUAGUUGGUCUCUGUGCCUGCGACCGGCCAUUGCACACAACCACACACCCCUCUCUCCUCCUCCUGGCCAUGUUUCUCUAUCUGCAUAACAAACUCGUCAUUGCCAUGGUUCUCUCUUCGCUGUUGUUGUUUACCACUUCCUCUUCCUCUUCUUCCCUGUUCUGUUCUGCAACUCAUGGCGUUACUGUCGUUGAUGGUUCGGUCUCUGUGUAGGCUCAUGGUGUCGCUUAUCGGCCGGCCCGUGGCUUCCUUCACCACAAUCUUGUAUUACAGCGAUCUGUUGCCACGGAAUGUGAACUUAGAGCGCCUGGUUGAGAACGAUCUUCUGGAGAGGGAGAACUAUCUGUUCCAUUGUAUUAUUAACAUUUUGAGGUGUUUUUGGUGACAAAACCCCAAAAUUCGACUCACUGUUGAGGAUUUGAUAUUCUUAUUUCCGGGGUUUCUUUUCCUUUUUCCCUUUUUUCCCUCCAUACAAUGUUGCAAUGGCGAACAGUUUUCAGAGAGCAAUGCAAUGCAAGUACGGCUGCUUCUUACUUCUGCAGACUCAUCGCUUUUGAUUAGACGAAAUGGUGGUAAGCACCCUCCGCUUUUCUUCCCGUGCGAGUUUGGUCUCUUCUUUUCUAAGGAAAUAAAGAGGAAAAGAUAUUUAAAUCUUUCCUUCUUCUGUAUGAUUUGGAAUCAGACAUAAGUACAGAUCGCUAUAUAUUUUUUGAUGCGUA